GGAAGUUGCUCAUAUUUGAGCCACAGCUGCAACCUACACGAUGGCCAUGGCAACACCAGAUCCUUAACCCACUGCACUGGGCUGGGGAUCCAACCCACGCUGCCACAGAGACAACGCCGGAUUCUGAACUCACGUGCCAGAGAGGGAUCGCCUCUGAGACGUGUGUAUAUAUAUAUAUUUUUAAUCUCGGCCUUCCCAUUUGUCCUGUUAUAGUUGAAAUAUUUUAUUUACUUAUUUUAUUUUAGAACAUGUUCAUUUCAGUUCUGUUUUCAUUUUUACUCCUGACACUGGGAUCCUGAGCCCGAGAGCCAGCACAGAAGCGCAGCCCUACUUUCCCUCUGUUAAGUCAAGAGACUCUCAGCUGACCUGUAACUGUCCUCAUCUCUAACCGAAACUAAACUUUCAUUUGAGGCAGUGUGAUAUGAUUAUUAUUGUUAUAAACAAGGCACAGUUUACACAAUCAAAGGCGCAUUUUCCCUUUCCAAGCAGUCCUCUUGGGAGUCUACAAAUUUAUUUUAGCUCUGCUUGCUGUGGCUCAAAACGGACGUGGAAAUCCUCUUUCAGAAUUGCAUCUUUUUCCUUUGAAUGUAGUUCAAGUUUUAGAAAUAGCCAGAAGUCAUUUGAGGCCAAAUCUGAUCGCUGAUGUGGUUUUGGUUUAAGAAGAGGACAUCAUUGGCUGAUAUUAAACACGAGACUUUCCAGCGAAAUUUGGUUGGUUCAGAGUAAAAUGUCUGUAAAGCCCCUGCUGGAUCUGGGCACUGUACCGGGGAGCCACUCGCAGCUUCUGUGCAGGCAGUUCUCCCGCAGGAUUUCCUAGGAUAUUUUGAUGAACGACAGUGUCAGUGAAAUGCGGGUUCAGCACUGAAAGACGGCACCCUGAUAUGUCCGAGUCCAGGUGUACGUUUUAUUGGGAUAUCAUUGACAUACGACAUUGUCCUGGUCUGAGGUGUAACAACAAUGGUGUUGGCAUAUACUGCAACAUGACAACCACAACAAAUUCAGGAAACCACCAAACUGUCUUCCGAAGGGGCUGCACCGCUCUGCACCCCCUGGAAAUGAGUGAGGGUUCCUGUUGCUCUGCAUCCUCGGCGGCAUUUGCUGUUGUCAGUGUCCUGGCCAUUCUCAGAGAUGUGACGUGAAAUCUCAUUGUGGUUUAAGCUGCAUUUCCCUGACGACAUAUGAUGUCUAUCUUAUAGACCAGCAUGUGGUCUAUCUUGGUGAACUUGGAAAGACUGUGUAUUCUGCUACGGUUGGAUGACGUGUUCUACAAAUAUCAACUCGACCCAGGGAAUUGAUGGUGCUGUUCAAUUCAGCUACAUCCUUAUUGGUUUUCUGCUGGAUCAUCAGCUACUGACAGAGGCACAUGCUCCCAGACCCCUCUGACAGCAACUACCACAGUCUUGGCCAACCUGCCCCAGGAGGACACACCCAAGUAGCCACCCUGACUGCAAGGCACGGGUGGCCCCGCAGAAGCAAAGAGAAAACCUGGCCACAAACCUCAGCUGCCCCCAAACAACCUUCGUAUUUCUUUGUUUAGACUCAUAACUAUGUGUCUAGAGGGAUUUGGGCCCACAUCAUGGCAAAAAAACUACACUCCAAGAUUAGCUUGAACGAAGGAGACAGUUCCACACAGUUCUGCUCUGCAAAGAAGUUCAUGGUGUCCUUUUCAGAUUCCACGUGUCAGUGACAGCAUUUGAUGCUGGUGUCUCAUUGUCCGAUGGACUUCACUUAGCCUGAUAAUUUCCAGGUCCAUCCACGUUGCUAAAAAUGCUGGUAUUUUGUUCCUUUUAAUGGCUGAGUAAUAUUCCAUGGUGUGUAUGGACCACAUCUUCUGGAUCCACUCUUCUGUCGAUGGACAUUUAGGUUGUUUCCAUGUCUCGGCUAUUGCACAUAGUGCUGCAAUGAACAUCGGAGUACAUGUGUCUUUGCGAGUCGUGGUUUUCUCUGGAUAAAUGCCCAGGAGUGGGAUUGCUGGAUCCAAUGGUAGUUCUAUGUUUAGUUUUCUGAGGCAUCUCCAUACUGUUUUCCACAGUGGUUGCACCAAUUUGCAAUCCCACCCACAGUGUAAUAGGGUUCCUUUUUCUCCACACCCUCUCCAGCACUAACUGUUUGUAGACUUUUUGAUGAUGGCUAUUCUGGCUGGUGUAAGGUGGUAUCUCCGAGUGGUUUUGAUGUGCAUUUCUCUAAUACUGAGUGAUGUUGAACAUCUUUUCAUGUGUUUUUUGGCCAGAAUUAUCUCAUCUUGUCUUAUGGAUGAGAAACAGAUCCAGAGAAGUCACUUGCUAAUGGUUAUAAAAAAAAUCAAACUUAAAAAACAAAACUUAAAAAUAAAGAAUCAAACAGAUUAGGAGGAUACCAUUUGCAUUAUAAAGGACUUGUCUUAGAGUUCCUGCUGUAGUGCAACAGGAUCUGUGGCAUCUCUGUAGCACCAGGACACAGGUUCAACCCCCAGCCCAGCACAGUGGGCUAAAGGAUCCAGCAUUGCCACAGUUGUGGCGCAGGUCGCAACGCUGGCUCAGAUCUGAUCCCUGGCCCAGGAACUCCAUAUGCCACGUGGCAGCCAAAAAAAAGGGGGGAAAAAUGGACUUAUCUUAACGAGCUGAUUUCCCAAAGGCAUUGAAAUAUGACUCAGUUUAUAUAAACAUAAUUUGCUUACAACUUUUGGGAGGGCCCAUAUACAUGUCUCAGAGUUUCUAGCACAGUGCUAAUUUCAAGUAUUCUGCCAGAUCAUAUGCUCUAACUUAAGAAUCAAAAAGAUUGAAUGGUACCCCUGCCUACCCCCAGAUUGGACAGAGGCCACCAGAACAGAACCUCUUGAUUUUCUCAGAGAGAUCAGUCUGGAUUUUGCCACAGUCGGAAGGGACCAUAGAGGCAACAGUGUGAUGUUUUAGACGGAGGAACCGAGGCUCAGAAUGUGUCCCAGUCGAGGGCACGCAUCAGGCUGGCGGGUGCAGGGAGGCGGGGAUGCUGGCCCCUUGACUCCCAACCCACUGCACUCCCUCCUGCCCCCAGCUGAUCUGUAUGCCCAAUGCCUGCCUCUCCAGAUCCUCCCUCUGCCCUCAUGCCCUUGGCUCCCGCUCUUGGCUAAGAGCCUGCUGGGCCCAGACCUACUUGCAGAAGCUGCAGAAGAUGGAGAAGAGCCCCAGGAUCAUGUUGGCCAGGGACAAGGCAUUGGCAACAUCCUUCCAGGAAAAGUCACUCAUCUGGGGGCGGCUCGGAUCUUUGGUCAGGAAGAAACGGGUACACUGACCUGGAGCCCAGGGGAGAGGGCCGAGCGGUUACCAAGGUCGAAGGGCCCCCAAAGAGGCUCCCAGGGGUCCGGUAGUUCUUGUUUCCCUAGACCUCACCCCAGAACUGCACCCUCCCACCACUGUUUCGCUGGCUGGAGUGAGGGCGGCGGGAAGCAGACGGAGGAAGCCCAGGAGGGAAGAGAGAGGGGCUGAAGAUGAGCGCCCGGGAAAGGUCCACAGCAAAGCGAGUAAACUGGCACAACCACGGCUCCCCUCUGACCGCACCCCUGCCUCCAGCACAGGCUGCCUCCCGUCCAAGUGCUGACCCUCCCGGCACCCCCAGGAGCCUUUUGUCACAGAGGCCGCUCUCAUAAAUGAGUCCUCUUAAAAAAAGAAAAUUUACCAAGUAUUUUUAAUACUUUGGGGUGAGCCAAAAACCCUGGGAAGGGGUAACCCUCUCACCCCCACGAGUGGCCCGGGGGAGCGAGGCUACCUGACAGGAGGGAAGCACAGAGGACCGGCCGCAGGCUCAGCCUGUGUCCCGCAGGCCACACUCAGGCCCUCGGAAGGCCAGGGCUGGCUCGGACAAGCCCCACAGCAGCCCAGCACCACCAAGGGAAGCGGUGAGAAGAGAGACAUGGGCGCGGCCAGCACGGGACCGUUCACAAGGCACCUUCGCCGCGCUCCCCCUUCCGAUCCCACGACUGGGAGACGGAGGUGGGUUUCGCGAAUGAGGAACUAACGCCCUGCGAGGUGGGGCUCUGAGCUGAGAGCGCAGACAGGCUGAGGAAACCCUAAGCUUGCCGGUUUGCUUCCAAAUCGGGUGCCUCUUUCGCCCAGAGCAUAAUCUCAGCAGCAGGUCGUCUGUGGGGCAGCGGCCUUGCGGGAGCUCAGACGGCCAGCCUGGGUGGGCAGCCUCGGCCUCCACAUGCAGGGGCGGCCUGCCCCGGCCUCCCUAAGCGGCAAGAAUGCAGCUGGCCCGGCCCGUUUGCACAGUCCCUCUGGGUCUGUUCUCACUCCAAGACCAAAUACGUGCACUCCUUACACACACACUGGGCGUGAAACUUUCUUCUGGAGCAGCAGCCCCAGCGCGCUCUGAAACAGGGAGGCCCCACUGGUUGUAAACUUACUACCCACAAACGGCACAAUCCUGAACUUGAGUAAAAUACACAGGUUUCAAGGUGCUUUCAGGUCUGUGUUCUCAUUUAAUCUCCGUUCCUUUUAGAGGCGAGGAAGCUGAGACUCUGCCUCCCUGCAGCCCCUCUGCGGAGCCUAGGCCCUUCUGGACUGGGUAGGAGCUGGAGAAAUCAUGGUCCGUCCCCAUAAACACUCUGCCGCCAAAAUGGCAGAGGUUGAGAAGGGGCUACACGGGGAGUUUGGGACUCAGAGUUGAUCAGGCAGCACAGUGGAGCUUACUGCUCCCACAGGCCAGCUUCAUUUGCCAAGAGGUAUCAGGAGCUGCAUGGCCAAAGCCACCGGGACUCCUGAGAUCUUGUCAGACCAGGUCCCCACAAAACCUAAGACAGGAAGCACUGCUGGCCAGAGAAACCUGAGAGGCGCGGGGGGGGGGCGAAGGGCUGGGUGCACACCCCUCCCCAUCAACCCUUCUCUCCUUGCCUGUCCUGAGUCUCAAGGCUGGCCGCAGCAAGACCAAACACUGUGUUCCAGCCUAGCCCACUGCUGCCUGGGAGAGCAGCACCCUAGCUCCUCUGACUCUAGGAGGCAGUCAGCAGGUGCCUGGAACUUGUCCACCAAUUACUAGACACACCCCAUCUACACUACUUCAGUUUUUUUCAUUAAUGUUCAACAAAUUGUCUACUAAAUUAUCUCUUUCAUUCACAAAGUACUUCCUCUAUCACUUUGGAGGUCAAAGAAGACCCAGAGAGGGGAAGAAUCUUGCUCACGGUCACAUAAGAAGUGGCAGAAAAAGACUUCCAGCUUCACCUUAAGUGUUCUUUCCUGUGUAAUCGGGGGUACUGACUGAUCGUUGAAUCCGUUGUAAGCUCAGCCUGAACAAGGUGCUGGGGGAAGCCCUGGGCCCUGCCUUCAUGCAGCUUACGGUCUGUUCAGGACACCAAGACUCAUGCACGCAUGUGGAGACUUGCAGACUGUUCAUGGGGGUAACUCAUCUGAGAGACGGGGAAACUGAGGUUUCAGGACAGUUAGGUAACGUGUCCCAGUACAUGGUGGAGCCAGGAUUGGAACCAGGCCUCCUCCUUCUCAGUUAAAAGCCACUCGCAGCAUAAGGCACAGGCCCAGGUGUGAACGCCUGUGGACCUGAGAGUUAGGGCUGUAGAAAUUCAGAGAAAAAAGGAACAAUCCAUUGAUUCAGCAAACGCUUGGACUUGGGACACACAGAAGAUUAAGACCUGGUCUUAUCUCUCAGAAAGCUCAGUCUAGCAGCGGCGGGGAGCCCUGCAAAGCAAAGUGACUGAGGAGGCUGCUAAGGGAACACAGAAGGGCCCCGGUCAGGGUGCUUGGAACAGGCUUCUCAGAGGAGGGGGUCAGAGCCGAGGCUCUGCACAGCAGUGGCUGCAGGACCAGUUCAUGCCGCUCCCUGGCUCCUUGGAGGCCAUCGCCGGCUCCCCCCGUGCUCUCAGGAUGAAGUCCAACUCCUUCACUUGGUGGGCAAACCCUUCGUGAUAAAGCCCUGCUCAACGCUCGCCCCCGCCUCCAUCGCGCAUGGAACCCCUCCUCUGCCCCGCUCUUGCCGGGGGUGGUCCUCUUUGGGGACCCUGACACCCCCCCUCAGGCCUGGAGGUGCGCGCCUCUGCACUGCCACAUCUCCUGCUCUCCGCGGGGCACGGGCACGGGCACUCUGAUCUGGCAGCGCCUACCUGGCCUUCCUCCUCUGCUGUAGGGGAAGUAACUCCAAGGCCCACCGCGGUCCCCAUUGACAACAGAAGGUGUUCAGUGAUUGUUAUGUUAAAUUAACAGAACAUUCUGGCGCUUGCCUGAGAUCCUCUCCCGGUACCAAAUCCCUCAAAGCCUGUCCCGUGUGUCCUGUGAUAAACCACCUCAAACGAACUCUUGACAGUCCGGACCCUUCCACACACCCAGCAU